GGUCACUGCUAUUGGGAUUCGGCUAAGCCAUGCAAGCGGAGGGCGCGGUCGAAAGAUCGUGGCCCCGCACACUGCUCAGUAACACGUAGUCAACCUACCCUUGGGACGGGGACAACCUCGGGAAACUGAGGCUAAUCCCCGAUAGGUGAGGGACGCUGGAAUGCCUCCUCGCCCAAAGCUCCGGCGCCCAAGGAUGGGACUGCGGUCUAUCAGGCUGUUGGUGGUGUAACGGACCACCAAACCUACGACGGGUACGGGCGAUGGGAGUCGGAGCCCGGAGAUGGGGACUGAGACAAGGCCCCAGGCCCUACGGGGCGCAGCAGGCGCGAAAACUCCGCAAUGCGCGCAAGCGUGACGGGGGAAUCCCAAGUGCCGUUGGUCUUAUGAUCGACGGUUUUUAGGAAGUCUAAGAAGCUUCCAGAAUAAGGGCUGGGCAAGACUGGUGCCAGCCGCCGCGGUAACACCAGCAGCCCAAGUGGUGACCACGAUUAUUGGGCCUAAAGCGCUCGUAGCCGGAUCAGCAAGUCCCUUGUGAAAUCGGGCCGCCCAACGGUUCGGCGUGCAAGGGAUACUGUUGGUCUUGAGGCCGGGAGAGGUCGGAGGUACUCCUGGGGUAGCGGUGAAAUGCUCUAAUCCUAGGGGGACCACCAGUGGCGAAGGCGUCCGACCAGAACGGACCUGACGGUGAGGGGCGAAGGCUAGGGGAGCGAACGGGAUUAGAUACCCCGGUAGUCCUAGCUGUAAAGCAUGCGGGCCAGGUGUCUAGCGCUCCUUGAGGGCGCUAGGUGCCGGAGGGAAGCCGUUAAGCCCGCCGCCUGGGAAGUACGGCCGCAAGGCUGAAACUUAAAGAAAUUGGCGGGGGAGCACCACAAGAGGUGGGACCUGCGGUUC
rnacentral:rRNA from 1 species